CAGGAACAUGCACGACCACGGGCUCUCCUCUCUCCCUCUCCUCCCGAUCCCAGCCGCCAGGAGGCGCACGACCUGCGCGACGCUCGAUCCGGUGCCGUGCCGGCCAAUGGCCGACGCCGGUGAUCGGAGCACACUACACCACAGGUCUGCCUCAGCUCCUCCUUUCCUUCGCGCGCCCUACCUCCUCGCUGCACGCCGCGCGGGAGGGCUCGCGCUCGCCGCUCGACCAGAGCCACCGCCAGCUAGUCCGGUUCCACGCCGGCCGCCGGCCGAUGGCCGACGGAGGUGUUCGAAGCAUCCUACACCACCAGUCUUCUUCGUCUCCUCCUUUCGUUUGCAUGCCCGAGCUCCUCGCUGUACGCCGCCCGGGAGGGCUCGUGCUCGCCGCUCGACCAGAGCCACCGCCAGUUGGUCGUUGCUGCACUUGCCUGCGACCCCUCCGCCCCCUCUACACCGCCCUCCACCUCAACUUCAGACGCACAUGUGUUUGUGGAUGUUCUCAGUUAUUUUUUGCACACAAGGUGUUUGUGUGUUUGUCCCAGCCAGUUUCAGUCACAGAUCCUUGAGGUAAACUCCGACAUAUGAGACUAACUCUCCUUUCAUAUGAUUCAAAAAAUGGUAUGAUGGUUGGAGUUAAUUGGGUUACUAGAAUAAUGGGUUGCUAAUUAAUUUACAUCAUGUGGAGUCUCAAGACACAUGGGUACGCCGGCUCCUAUUGUUUGACAAAUGUAUUAUCAAAUUUUAUUUAAUCGUAUAAAGAAGUUGCAGUUAGGUGUUUCCCUUUUUUAUGCCUAGACAUAGCAGCUCCAAUAAGAUCUGGACGCUCAUCGUGGAUAUAUUAAUUAUUCUUAUAAUGGUCAUCUGAAUUUGCAGAGACAAUUAGAUUUUGGAAGCAGAAUCCUUUCCUCAUAAGAUGGAUGAGCUGUAGGAUUUGGUUCUGUUCAUCUUGAAUUAGUUUUUCAUCAUCAUUUUCUUUGUAUUAGGAAUUCAUGCCUUCCAACUCUAAUUUUUUUUGCAUUGUUGGUGUAUGCUGGGAGUCACAUUGUUAUGCAUGCUAGCAAACAGUAGGAUUGAUAGUCUUACCCUGUAGGUUAUUAAUAUCUUUUCCACUAUAUUGAUGUUCAGCAAUUUAAUUCGUAUAAGGUCACACAAGCAGUUUGGUUUUCAGAUUUGUCUUGACAAACAUAUUUGGUUCAGCAAUUUAAUUCGUAUUAAAGUGACACAAGCAGUUUGGUUCUUAGAUUUGUAUUGACAAACAUAUUUUGCAGACUAUCCUUGCAUAAACAAUUGAUUUCUGCAAGUUCCUUUCACUUAUUAAUUUCUUCCCUUGGUUAUGAUGUACUACUAUUCGAUUUCAUGAUGAUUCAUGAGUUUUGUAGUUUUCACUCACAGAAUCUUCUUUCUAAACAAGAUUGGUUCCCAUUGUUACAGUGAAGUAGCCACCGAGCAGUAAGGCCAUCGAGUGACACAAGACUGUGGGACAGCGUGAGAAGAAGCAGAGGGGUGUCUGGCGGGAUGGGGAAGACCACGAGGAAGUGUGGCGAUGGAGUGCAAUCCCAAAGAAGAAGAACAUUGCAAAGAAAGACCCUAGCCAAGCGCCACCCAAUUCUCUCUCACCGACCCAUCUAAUGGCCAUCAAUUCAAUUGGUCCAAGUUGUUGCGUUGACCUUCCCAUUGAUCCACUACAUCCACGCUCAGCUGCUUCUGCUAUGCUUCUUCUCCAUGGCAUUGCCGACUGCCAGCGUGCCUGACAUCGCGCCUUAUGUGACCUGAUAUGAUGCUCCUCUACGUGUUCUUAUCACCCCGGUUUCCAUGAGGAGAGAUGUUCUGUGGUUCUGUAGCUCUACUCCAUAGUAAUGAUGGAGUCUCCUCCAGGUGGAUAGCAAUUAUCUCGGGAUCAUGAAUAGCUUUGGUGCCCUCUCUCACUCAUGGUGAGACCAUGCGUGUUUGCCAUGGUUGUGGCUACGAAAUCUCAGACUGAGUCGCUUUGGUCGGGCACUAUUCAGGAAAUAUGACAGCGAAGACGGCCUCCAUGCCUCUCGAUCGAGUAAAUCUCUCCUGGCCUUCAGGAGGCUGCUGGAAAUCAACCACCGCGAGGUCCUCAAGGAGCUCUACCGCAGGAAAAUCAACAACGUUCGAUACGUAUUCUGUUCCAAAGCUAUCUACUUCAUGGUGUACGAGAAGUACCGCAGCUGGCUCCUAGGCACUAUUCCCUCGCUCGGCGGCAGCCUGGUCAGGACUUGCUUGUCGGGUCGGCCGCGACGGCACAUCCCCAAUAGAUACGUAUCCCCUCAACUCGCCUUCUGUCACAGUUUGCUUGGUACCCUCACUAAUACAUGUUCGAUCUGAUAUAUGUUAUGACAAUCUGAAGCGCGUCGGGCCAUGGACAAUGUUCGAUAAAGCGGCCAUUACUAGCGACAUGAUGGAGUACAUCCGCUCCCCAUGUAUGACAUAUUGUAGGCAUUGGCCACAAUCCUUGAAUUGACUAGAAACACAGGAGACCUGUAGUUUAAGAUGAUGCUCGUCUAUGCCUUUUUGGUCUAACUCUGAAAUCCAUCAGUACCUCUAGUUAGCCAAGGACGAGGUUGAAUUUUCGUUGCCUCAGAUUUGAUGUAGCGUGUUGGCAUUGCUAACUUACCCAUAACACAUGGUCAAUCGAGUUUCAUUUUGGUAUUGUGAGUCUAGGAGCGCACAUGCACUAUGUUUACUGGACAUCGAAGAGGGGCUGCCUUUGCACGUCAUGGGUUUCGGAUUGAAGGAAAAUUGGGCUGGACUGUUCUGCUCAUGUUAAUUGAUGGAGCUAAAUGUAUUGCCUGGCGGAAGAUUAGUAUAAUAGAAAAAUGGGGUAGGGUUGCUCGUCCGUUCCGUAUAGGUAAGGUUUGUAAUUUGGAAUACCGAGCAAGUUCUCAAGUAGUGACACCCUGAAGUUUCAUUCUAAUUUCAUCAGGUGUUUGGUGCAUGAGGAGAUUUUUCAUAGUAAUCAUAACACUUCCUUUCCAUACAGCAAGAUGAAACUAAAUAUUUUGUUCAUAGUAAUCAUACCUAUUCCUUUCAAGCUGAAACUAGACACAUCCUCAUCAGGUAAAUUGAUUCAUGUUCUUACUUCAUGUCCAGACAGCAAGACGAAACUAAAUACUUUUGCUAGCGUAUUUGUUGGAUCUUGAUUUUCGUAUAUGUUUAGAUUUGUCUUACACAUGUUUAAGAACCAGAUUCAGAGUAUUGCCAAGGGAUAGCCCAACGUCUUCUUGUGAAACUAGAUUAAUUGUACAAGAUUGAAUGUGACAAAACAUUAUACAUGAUAAUCGUUUCUUUGAAGUUUGAAGGUGGCACAUGACAUCUUUUCAAUUAUAUAUUCAUUUAAUUCAGUUGGAGAGGAAUAAAUUAUGUUAAGAAUCAGUACCAUGAUAUUUUAGUAUGAUUGGUCCUUUUGGAGUACAUUCAUAACACAAAAGAAUUGUUUGGUGGCCUCAUACAUUUUUCUCGUGCCUACCUUUGCAGCACAUCAGUGACAACAUGCUUGGCCAUAUGUCUCAAUUUCGGUGUCUGAAAGCACAAGAUUAGAUGACUUUUCAGAUGAUCGGAGACACGGUAAGGUCUCUAUAUUAAAGUUAUUAUGAGUCAACCUAAUAUUUUAUUCUGUUUAUUGCAAACAGAACCAGAAUCCAAGAUACGAAUACGCAAUUUAGAACCUUUAUGUGGUGUGAACAAGAUGAACAACAGAAGAGAAUGGUGAGGGAAUCGGAAUUAAAUGGAAAACAGGGUUAGCGGCUCAGAUCAGCGACAUGAACUCCUCGAUUUUCCCUAUUGUAUUAGCCCAAGUACGGAGUAUCUUUAUCCUGCUCUCGCCAGUGGGAUACGAAACGCACUCUUCCAUCCAGUUCCUCCACCCGGUCAACCCAAGUACAUUGCAAACGAUGUUUGCUUGUAGGGAAGCAUCAUUGAAUUAAAUGUAUUUACGAGUUAUAAAUGUUAAGUAUGUGGAUACUUUUCCCCCGUUGCAACGCACGGGCAUUUUGUAUUGGGUUGUCCUGGUGUUGCAACCUAGGAAGUACAAACAGGGUCCGUCGUCACCAUAGAUGAAAACCUUGUCGAGCCUUACUUUUUGCAGGUUGCCUUAUUUCUGUUUCUUUUAGAGAAAAGAUAGCAAUUUCGUUCAUUACAAUCCUGUUGCACGGACCCUGCUAGAUCGCGGUGCGUCGAGAUCAUAAUUGCUACACUCAAAGGUUACAUUGACCAUAUUGCUGACAUUUGGAAAAAUU